AGCAAGAAGAAGACAUGCUCUGUCCGCCCGUGUCCUCUUACCUGACCCCACCCCAACUCCUUCCUCCUCUUGUAUCUCCUCUCUUCUCCUCUCCCCUUUCUCUCUCUCUCUUUUCCUCCCUUCUUUCCUCGCGUGCUCUGUAAGAGAUAAAGAACUAAAAAGAACCAUUCUGGUCACAGCACAGCAGUAUCCGCUCUUUCUCUCCCCGGCUGGCUGCGACUAUUAGAGAUCUCUCUGUUCCCAGAAUCAACGAAAAGAAAAGGAAAGAGACCCCAAGAGCAGAUAAAUCAAAAGGAAAGGGGCAGAGAGAGAGAGAUAGAUAGAGAGGGCGGUCCUCGAAAUAGAGGAGUUUGGCCGUUGUGGCAGUUACCAGGCUGCGCUUUUCUGAGUGCACCCAUGCAUCCCCGUCCCCGUUUAGAAAGAAUAAGAAUGCCUCCUCUCCCCAGCUUGUCUACAUGUAAUCUAUCUAUCCAUCUAAAUCCCUAGUCUAAUCUUAGAAAGAGAUGGCGUGGAUGGAUUAUUAGGGAAAAUAAAGUCGGAGUUUUGCAACGCGGCAGCUAUUAUAGGAAAGCCUUAAAUUAAAACAACCCAAACCCAACCAGGCCCUGUUCACUGGUAUAGGAGAGAAAAUCGAGAAGAGAGGAGAAGAGGAUUGGAGGAGGACAGAAGGAAAAAGAAGAUUAAAGAAAUUAGAAAAAAAAAGAAACACAAAGGAAAAGGGGAGCGUCUAGGAGAGGGAAGGGGAUGGCAGCGGCGGAGGAGAUGCUGGUGGCGAUGCAUCAGGGGAAGAAAGAAGGGGAAGAAGACCCGAGCGUCGACACGGACAAGCUGAGCUACGAGAUAUUCUCCAUUCUCGAGAGCAAGUUCCUCUUCGGCUACGACGACCACAAGCUCUGGGUCCCCAAGCCCUCCGACACCGACGCCGCGGCCACGACGAUCAAGAACCAGAGGGGCAAGGUCCGCGUCCUCUGCAUCGACGGUGGCGGGGGAGGCGGCAUGCGGGGCAUCCUCCCGGGCAAGGCCCUGGCGUAUUUGGAACAAGCGCUCCAGGCCAAGUCCGGCGACACCAACGCCCGCAUCUCCGACUACUUCGACGUCGUCGCCGGCACCGGCGUCGGCGGGCUCUUCGCCGCCAUGAUCGUCUCCACCCGCGACGGCGCUCGCCCCCAGUUCCGCGCCGACGACACCUGGCGGUUCCUCGCCGACCAGGGCAAGCGUUUCUUCCGCAAGCCCAGAUCGUCGUCCUCUUCCUCGUCAUCCUCUGGCGGCUUCCUCCGGCGCGUGUUCCAUGGAGGGGGCGGCGUAGGGUCGUCGGCGACGGCGACGGCGGCGAUGGAAAAGGCGUUGAAGGAGGCGUUGGGGGAGGGGACCACGCUGCGGGACACGGUGAAGCCGGUGCUAAUCCCGUGCUUCGACCUGCGGAGCUCGGCCCCGCUGGUCUUCUCCCGCGCCGACGCCCUGGAGAGCGAGAGCUAUGACUUCCGGCUGUGGGAGGUGUGCCGGGCGACGUGGGCGGAGCCGGGCCGGUUCGCGCCUGCGGAGAUGCGGUCGGUGGACCGGCGGACGGCGUGCUUGGGCGUGGACGGGGGGCUGGCGAUGAGCAACCCGGCGGCGGCGGCCAUCACCCACGUCCUCCACAACAAGCAGGAGUUCCCCUUCGUCCGCGGGGUGGAGGACCUGCUGGUACUCUCCCUCGGAUGCGGGUCUGGCGGCGCCGCCGUCGUGCCGGAGGAGGAGCACCCGCGCCUUCGGCGGUGGGGUCCCCGGGAGUGGGCCCGCCCCAUCGCCCGCAUCGCCUCCGACGGCGCCGCCGACCUCGUGGACCACGCGGUCGCCCUCGCCUUCGGUCAGUGCCGGAGCUCCAACUACGUCCGUAUCCAGGGUAAAACGCGGUUUCACUACACUGUGACCGUGGGGAAGGAGAGGGAUUGAGUUGGCUCUCUGUACUUGCUGUAGGAGAACAGCAGACGAGGAAGGGCAUUUAGAUUCUAAUGGACAGUUUCGCAUUUGGCUAAUUGUACGAGCAUGGGCGAGUGUGGAGUGGAUGUGGAUUCGGACCCAAGCCCGGGGAACGUGAGGGCUUUGUUGGGGGCAGCAGAGGAGAUGCUGAAGCAGAAGACCGUAGAGUCGGUGAUGUUCGGGGGAAAGAGGAUGGGAGAGCAGACGAAUAUGGAGAAGCUGGACUGGUUUGCAGGGGAGCUCGUGCUGGAGCACCAGAGGAGGAGCUGUCGGAUAGCUCCCACAGUUGCCUUCAAGCAAGCAGCUCCGAAGCCCACCCAGAGUAUCAGUUAGUCAUCUCUCUUUUUCCACCUCUCUUUUUGCUGGAUCCUGCUGUUUUUUUUCCACAUAGCAGUGUAGCAUUUCCCUCCUUGGAAUCGGGGGAAGGGGAAAAGGCGAAAGGCAAUUAUCGCUUGUGGUUACUCACGUUGUCUCAACUAUAUAAAAAUUGUUUCAGUACCCGCUGCAAUUUCAAGAUUAAAAAGAUCAUUAUGAAGGAAGAUACACUUUUUCUUUUUAAUAUAUUAAUGUCUAUAUUGUUGUAACGAAGCCCUUUUGGGCCUCCUCCAUACGAGGCUCUUGUAAACGUGUUAGUGAAACCUGCCCUCUCUAUGGUCUCUCAUGUUUUCUA